UCUCCGUAGGUGAACCUGCGGAGGGAUCAUUACAGAGUUCAUGCCCUACCGGGUAGAUCUCCCACCCUAUGUUAUUAUUACUUUGUUGCUUUGGCGGGCCGUUAGGCUCCGGCCCGACUACCGGCCCCGGCUGGUAAGCGCCCGCCAGAGGACCCAAAACCCUGAAUAUUAGUGUCGUCUGAGUACUAUAUAAUAGUUAAAACUUUCAACAACGGAUCUCUUGGUUCUGGCAUCGAUGAAGAGCGCAGC
rnacentral:misc_RNA from 1 species